AUGUCCCUAAUGAAUUGAAAAUAAAAACACUUCCCUACUUGAGGCUUCAAGACAAAGCAUUGUCAAUGGCUGGAAAUAAGUUUUCUUUCUUUUUGGUUGUUCUCCUCAUGGCGACUAUUAUUAAUCCCUCGCCGAAGAUGAAAGUGCAAGCAUUGCGAAACUUAGCCUUGGAUAUGGAUAUGGUUGAAAGAAAUCUAAUGCUAGAUGAUGGUUGGUUGACUUGUAAGAGACCUUGCAGUAAGCAAAGUGAUUGUUCUGACGGUUGGAUGUGCAAUUCAUGUGGGACUCCUAUCUUAGGGAAGAAAUAUAAACAAUGUCUCAUUCCUCCCUCUCAAAGUUGAGGGUUCCAACUGCAUUCACUGCUAAAGACACACGUUUUUCCGAGGGAAAAAUCUGACAGAUAUAAGAGAUUUUCCUACAUGUAUGUUUAUGUUGCUUUUCAUUUACCUACUUUGAGUCUCUUGUAAGCAACAGAAUAAGUGUCUACCUACUAUAUUAAUCUUGAUCAAUGUACUAUGUUAUGCAGUUUGUGUA